UGGAAGGCUCCCCGGAUAAGGGACUAGGAAGCCCUGGACAGGGGACUGGAAGGCUCCCCGGAUAAGGGACUAGGAAGCCCUGGACAGGGGACUGGAAGGCUCCCCGGAUAAGGGACUAGGAAGCCCUGGACAGGGGACUGGAAGGCUCCCCGGAUAAGGGACUAGGAAGCCCUGGACAGGGGACUGGAAGGCUCCCCGGAUAAGGGACUAGGAAGCCCUGGACAGGGGACUGGAAGGCUCCCCGGAUAAGGGACUAGGAAGCCCUGGACAGGGGACUGAGUAGCUCCCCGGAUAAGGGAUUAGGAAACUCCCUGGACAGGGGACUAAGUAGCUCCCCGGAUAAGGGAUUAGGAAGCCCUGGACAGGGGACUGGAAGGCUCCCCGGAUAAGGGAUUAGGUUGAGGUUCCCUAAAAGGGACAGAGGUUCAAGUUCCCUGAAAGGGAUAGAGGUUAAGGUUCCCUAAAAGGGACAGAGAAGCAAUUCAAAGAAAAUGGGUACUGGCGGCUCGAAAGCGAAAGUGCACACUGCGUUAGUGCAGCUCUUAGGACGUGGCAGGAUCAAGAUAAAGGCGGAGACGGUGGAAAAAUUCUUGAAUACCAUCGCAGCAGAGGUCCCCUGGUUUCUUGAAGAAGGGUCUGUAGAUGUUGCCUCUUGGGAGCGAUCAGGAAAAGAGUUAUCAGAUUAAAAGAAUUUUGGAGAAUAUGGGAGACGUACAGAGUAAGCAAGAACUUAAGGAUAUUUGAGAAUAAGCAAGAACUUAAGAAUAUUUGGAAACGUACAGAGUAAGCAAGAACUUAAGAAUAUUUGAGAAUAUGGGAAACGUAUAAAGUAAGCAUGAACUGUAUUAUCAGAUUAAAAGAGUUUUGGAGGAACAAGAAAUUGAAAAACUGUAUCUUUGAAAUUAUAAACCUAAAACUUUGUUGAAAUUCAUUAAGGUGUAUCCACAAUACUUAACACCCAGUGAUUGGCAACAGUUGUGUAGAGCAGCAUUAUCAGGAGGUUAUUAUUUAUUAUGGAGAGGAGAGGUCCAAGAGCAGCCUCUACAGGUGGCCAGCGUUAGCGCAGGUGAGGGGAGCUGUUUGUGUUUUUCCCCCAGGUGCUGAACUGAUAUUGCACAGAAGCAAAAGAGGUUUUGGAAUAACAGCAGCUAUCAUCAUUAGCAUAGCCAUCAUUUCUACUGCUGCCAUCGCUGCUAGCAUCGCCUGUCUCAGACUGCGGUUACAGCUUCCACGGUUGAAAAGUUAGUGAAGUCCUGCAAACUUAGAACUCAAUCAGUGUAACAUACAACUUGGACUCAUGAACUUAAAUCAACAAACUGCCUUGUUACAAGAACAAGUUGAUGCCCUUUGGGCUAAGUAACAGCUAACAUGUUCUCAUUUCUUUCAUCAUAUUUGUGUUACCCAUUACCAUGUACAAAAUGCCUCCAAUACUGUAAAACAAUUGAUUGCCUUAU